CCAAGGGUAGUAAUCUCUCGGAGGAUCAAUUCUUUCUGGAUCUCCUCGCGGAGUCCUGCCCGAAACCUAGAAAGAGUAACAGUCUCCUCUUCGAUUACACCGCACCUCAUGUGAAACUCCUCAAAUCGUGCAAUGUAAUCGACAACAGUUGAAGUUCCUUGAGUUAGUUUCUGCCACCUAUCCAUAAGGCGUUGUCGGUAAGAGAAUGGCAGAUACUUCUCAUUCAAUUUUUCUUUCAUAU
rnacentral:lncRNA from 1 species